UGAAAAACCCCUUCGUCCCUUCGAUGCAAUCCUCUCGUGACACCGACCAUAACCACAGAUUUCUUCACUUCACUGCGCCAUAGCCAUUCUAGAGACUCACGCUCACUGCAUUCCCAUUUUGUCUGAGAAACUGCUUUGUUUGAGAGAAUUAUGACAGGCAUUGUCAUGAUUACCAAGGGAGGUGGCUGCGCUGGUGGAGUUAGGGGGGCAAAGGGUACCAGAGCCAGCGAAGACGAGCAAAACCAGUUGUCAAUGGUGGCGAUUCUCUUGGCAGCUAUAAGGAAAUCUUUGGUGUCUUGCCGUUUUGAGGAGAGAGAAGAUGUGAUUCCUGCCGUUCAUCAUAUGGAGAUCGGCUGGCCUACAAAUGUUCAGCACAUUACGCAUGUGACGUUCGAUCGCUUCAAUGGGUUUCUGGGUUUGCCCGUGGAAUUCGAAGUCGAGAUCCCGUGUCGAGUCCCAAGUGCUAGUGCUAGUGUGUUUGGAGUCUCAGCAGAAUCAAUGCAAUGUUCUUUUGAUUCAAAAGGGAAUAGUGUCCCAACAAUUAUCUUGCUAAUGCAGGAGAGGCUGUACUCACAGGGAGGCCUAAAGGCAGAAGGGAUUUUUCGCAUAAACCCAGAGAAUGGCCAAGAGGAGAACGUGAGGGACCAGCUGAACAGGGGAAUUGUGCCUGAUGAUAUUGAUGUACAUUGCUUGGCGGGCCUUAUAAAAGCCUGGUUUAGAGAGCUUCCUUCCGGAGUGCUGGAUGGGCUUUCCCCUGAACAAGUUCUCCAAUGUAAAACUGAAAAAGAAUGCGUUGAGCUUGUGAAGCAGCUAAAGCCAACAGAAUCUGCGUUGCUCAAUUGGGCCAUUGACCUCAUGACUGAUGUUGUCCAGGAAGAAAAUUCCAAUAAAAUGAAUGCCAGAAAUAUUGCAAUGAUUUUUGCUCCAAACAUGACUCAGAUGUCUGAUCCAUUAACGGCAUUGAUGCAUGCCGUACAAGUAAUGAACUUGCUCAAGACUCUUAUCACGAAAACACUAAGAGAACGUGAAGAAACUGAAACUGGAGGAUAUUCGCCCAUGUCAUUUCAUUCAUCUGGUCAACAAACUGAUGAGGAUUUUGAAAGUCAGCAAGAGAUGGAUACCAGUUGUGAACUGAGACAGGCACCCUCAGAUCAUUAUGAAGAAGAUCGUGCCCAUUAUAGCCCUCAUAAUGAAGAUGAUGAUGAAACUGAGUCAUUGAUUGAGAUAGAAGAUUGCUUCUUGAGGCCACUGGAUGAGAACAGAACUGGCUAUAUAUUUUUUCAGCAAGCACCAGCUGAUUUACCCAGAGAAUUUGCAUCUCCCGGAACCUGCUCAGCGUUUAAAGUGGAAUCUGGCAUCUCAUUUACUGAUAGCAGAAGUGAAAAUUCCAGUUCAGCUACAAGUGACGGAGAAGACUCCAGGGAAAGUAUGAUAGCUGUAGGCCAAGAAAUUGGUAGAAGAAGCGCAAAAGGAUGUGAAAACUCUGAUGAUGUAAAGACAGUUGACAAAUUAGCUGAGUCUGUCUUGCCCACGCAAUCGAUUAUCUAGGCUUUUUUUUUUCUUGAAAGUGCUUAGGAGAAUACUUCGUUCCAGAGUUUGGUUUGGUCUCUAGUGUCGCGGUUGCAUCUGUACAUUAAUGCUGCAUUAAUUGUCUGGGCUUUGGAGUAUUCAAGUGUUGUUGAUUGUUAGAGAGUCAUGGUUCAGCUUUGGGCUGAACCUUGUGCUUGUUUUGUGAGUUUCAGAUAGAAGCUGAAAACUCUUGUAUGUUUCUGUAGUGUGGAUUUGUAUUCUAAACCUUGACGUUCUUACGCUGGAAUGUUUAAUGUAUGCGAGUCUAAUUCCAUGUCUCUAUCAAAAGGAUAUGCAGAAGUCUACAUGCUCAAUUCCUACGUCGCUUGGUUCAACUUUAUAGGGAAGUCGUCCAUGUUACGUUUGUUUGAUUUCAAAGAAGAGUGGGUCCAUCAUCCAUGUUUCGUUUAAGAUGAAACCAUAAAACUAGCUGGGGCCCGUCUUGGCAAUUUUAGACUUGAAUGACUCAUAUAUGAUGUACCCAAGUGUAAUUCCAUGCCUGUAUCUUUAGAUAUGCAGAAGUCUUUGAUGCUGAAUUCCUGAAUUUGUUGUGGAUAAUUUUCAGUCAUAUUAUUCACUGUCUGUAAGGCUUUCAUGAGGCUGGCUAGCAAGGGAUCGAACUUUUGCUUUGUUGGCUUAAAUGGGUUGUGUUCAUAUUAGAAAAUCAAACAGAAAAGGAUAUGAGUAUGAAUCUAC
rnacentral:misc_RNA from 1 species